rnacentral:rRNA from 1 species
AGUGAACGCUGGCGGUAGGCCUAACACAUGCAAGUCGGACGGCAGCACAGUAAGAGCUUGCUCUUACGGGUGGCGAGUGGCGGACGGGUGAGGAAUACAUCGGAAUCUACUUUUUCGUGGGGGAUAACGUAGGGAAACUUACGCUAAUACCGCAUACGACCUACGGGUGAAAGCAGGGGAUCUUCGGACCUUGCGCGAUUGAAUGAGCCGAUGUCGGAUUAGCUAGUUGGCGGGGUAAAGGCCCACCAAGGCGACGAUCCGUAGCUGGUCUGAGAGGAUGAUCAGCCACACUGGAACUGAGACACGGUCCAGACUCCUACGGGAGGCAGCAGUGGGGAAUAUUGGACAAAGGGCGCAAGCCUGAUCCAGCCAUACCGCGUGGGUGAAGAAGGCCUUCGGGUUGUAAAGCCCUUUUGCUGGGAAAGAAAAGCAGCAGGUUAAUACCCCGCUGUUCUGACGGUACCCAAAGAAUAAGCACCGGCUAACUUCGUG